AUUGAACGCUGGCGGCAUGCCUUACACAUGCAAGUCGAACGGCAGCACGGGGGCAACCCUGGUGGCGAGUGGCGAACGGGUGAGUAAUACAUCGGAACGUACCCAGUCGCGGGGGAUAACGUAGCGAAAGUUACGCUAAUACCGCAUACGCUCUCUGGAUGAAAGCGGGGGGCCGCAAGGCCUCGCGCGAUUGGAGCGGCCGAUGGCCGAUUAGGUAGUUGGUGGGGUAAAAGCUUACCAAGCCUCCGAUCUGUAGCUGGCCUGAGAGGCAGAUCAGCAACACUUGGACGGAGACCCGGCACAGACUCCUACGGGAGGCAGCAGUGGGGAAUUGUGGACAAUGGGCGAAAGCCUGAUCCAGCAAUGCCGCGUGCAGGACGAAGGCCUUCGGGUUGUAAACUGCUUUUGUACGGAGCGAAACGGCUUCCACUAAUACUGGGGGCUAAUGACGGUACCGUAAGAAUAAGCACCGGCUAACUACGUGCCAGCCGCCGCCGCCG
rnacentral:rRNA from 1 species